CCCUGAAAUCAAUAAAAAUAUAUACUUUUUAAAAAUUGGGUCUUAAUAUCCUAGGUGAAAUCUCAGUGUUCCCUUCAUUUAUUUACAUCUUUGAGUUAAAGAGUGAGUAACAGUCUAACUGCUUAUUAACCUUAGUUUUAUAAUAUCUUCUAAUAUUAUAGUUAAGCUGCAAAGCUACUUUGGUUAUACAAUACUCAGUAUUACCAGUGGGGGAUACAUUUCAAGACGUAUCCAGUAGACGCCUAAAACUGCAAAUAGUAUGGAACCCUAAAUGUAUACUAUGAUUUUUCCUAUACAUACACACCUAUGAUAAAGUUAAAUUUAUAAAUUAAGCAUGGUAAGAGACUAACAAUGACUCAU